rnacentral:hammerhead_ribozyme from 1 species
AUCCAGAUGACGAGUCCCAAAUAGGACAAAACACGCGUCCUAGAU